rnacentral:rRNA from 1 species
AUUGAACGCUGGCGGCAUGCUUUACACAUGCAAGUCGGACGGCAGCACAGAGAAGCUUGCUUCUUGGGUGGCGAGUGGCGAACGGGUGAGUAACAUAUCGGAACGUACCGAGCAGUGGGGGAUAACUAAUCGAAAGAUUAGCUAAUACCGCAUAUCUUCUGAGGAAGAAAGCAGGGGACCAUUUGGCCUUGCGCUGUUUGAGCGGCCGAUAUCUGAUUAGCUAGUUGGUGGGGUAAAGGCCUACCAAGGCGACGAUCAGUAGCGGGUCUGAGAGGAUGAUCCGCCACACUGGGACUGAGACACGGCCCAGACUCCUACGGGAGGCAGCAGUGGGGAAUUUUGGACAAUGGGCGCAAGCCUGAUCCAGCCAUGCCGCGUGUCUGAAGAAGGCCUUCGGGUUGUAAAGGACUUUUGUCAGGGAAGAAAAGGGCGGGGUUAAUACCCCUGUUCUGAUGACGGACCUGAAGAAAAGCCCC